CCUGAAUCCCUCUAUCGGCAUGAACGUGCGGUUAAACCGAAAGGUACAGGAGACAGCCUUGGAAGAGUUUCAGGUGUUGCGGAUGGCGUCAUGAAUGGCAUCAAAGCCGUCAUGGACAUGGUCAGUGGAUAGUCUGGAUGAUCUUGUCUUCUUCUGCUGGGUAUUUUCGG